rnacentral:lncRNA from 1 species
CGCCGCGCCACCACACCCAGCUACUUUUUUUUUAUUUUUAGUAGACACGGGGUUUCACCGUGUUAGCCACCGAUCUCCUGACCUCGUGAUCCGCCCACCUCGGCUUCCCAAAGUUCUGGGAUUACAGGCGUGAGCCACCGCGCCAGGCCGCUGGCUCUAUUUUCACCGCUAGCUUUGGAUCCCUUUCUUCCCUGAAGGAAAAGAGGCCUCCAGGGCAGCCGUGCAGAACCGAUGGGAGGGAUGUAGGAUAAUACGCCAAAGCCGAUAGAGUUCUGGAGCGCGCCUGGGCAUCAGAGCGUGGAAGACAAGUGUCCGCGGAAGGAGGCGAAGGAUGCUGGACAAGCCCCGCCGCCCGCCGCCCGCCGCCCGCCGCCCGCCGCCCGCCGCCCGCCGCCAGCGGCCCUGGGCCCAGGGAGAAGCAGAGAUGUUGGCCCUCCCAGUUUCCUAGAGAGGCCGCAGAGGGCCCGGGGAGGCGACGCGCGUGCGCAACUGGGGAAGCUGGGAGGUAGGCGCGGGGCGGUCGGCUGCGGUGGCGGCGUUUGGAUGAUUGUCUCUCGGCGGCGGAGUCGGUGAGCGGCCCGGCGGGGCGCGGGGUGCGGAGCGGGGGCGGCUGUGCGUGCGAGAGUGGCAGGUAACACUGUGGUGACACUAUCUCUGUCAUGCAUCAAACUUAUAAAAUUGGCUGGGCAUGGUGGUGCAUGCCUGUAAUCCCAGCUACUUGGAAGGCUGAGGCUGGAGAAUCACUUGAAUCCAGGAGACGGAGGUUGCAGUGAGCAGAGAUUGCACCACUGCACUCCAGACUGGGCAACACGGCAAGACUCCGUCUCCAUAGAAACAAAAAAACAAAACUUACAUAUGUGUAUAAGCCUGUGUCAGGAUUCUGUACUUUUCCUUUUAUCUACAGUUUGCAUAUUUAUAUUUCUUCAGUAAUAUAUGCUGUUUCAAGUACUACAGCUUUAUAUUAAGCCUUAUUGUCUGGUAGAACAAAACUUUCCACAUCUAAAAAGUUUUCUUAACUAUUAUUUUUCUCAUUCAUUUGAAUUUUAGAGUAUGCUUAUCAAGCUCUAUGAAAAAUUACAUUGUAGUUGGCUGGGAUUUUGUUGACUUUGCAUGUUAAUUUAGAAAAAACUGACAUCUUGAAGGAGUGUUUUCCCAUACAAAAUGUAUUUAUAUCUGUUAUGUCUUUAGGCAGAGUUUUCUAUUUAUCCACUAAGGUCUUGUACAUUUUUUAUUGGCUUUAUUUCUGAGUACUUUAUAUUUUUGUUGCUAUUGUUUUAAUUCAUUUUCUGAUUGGUUGCUAUUGUGUUGGAAAGUUAUUGAGUAUAUAUUGAUUAUAUAUUCAAUCUCCUGAAUGUCUUAUGACGUUCUGUUUUUUUGGUUCAUUCUGUUUAAUUUUUUAGGUGAUGUUUCAUAUCAUUCAUGCGUAUAUUUGCUUUGCAUCUUUCUUGUCUAUUUUCUGCAUUUUUUUUUCUGGUCUAAUUACAUUGUCUAGGAUUACAAUGUUUGUUCCUAUUUUUAAUUGCAAAGGUUUUUAUGUCUUUACCAUUUAGUGUCACGUCUGUUGGAGAUUUCUUUCGUCUAUUCUGCAUGUCAGUUUAAGGAUGUCUCUAUUCCUGGAUUGUUAAGAGUGUGCACAAAAAGAAGAUAUAGUUAUUUAAUUUUAAGAGAAUACCAAUACUGUAAAUAGCUUUAUGCCAAUAAAUAUGAAAAGCUGGAUGAAUACUUGGAUUGUUUCUUCCUUUUUACUAUUAUGUGUAAUGCUGCUAUGAACAUUUGUGUAUGAGUUUUUGUAUGGACAUCUAUUUUCUUUUAUCUUGGGUGUAUAUAUAUAUAGGAGUAGAAUUGCUAGGUCAAUUAGUAAAUGUAUGUUUAACUUCGUGAGGAACUGUCAGACUGUUUUCAUAAGUGUAUGCAUCAAUUUACAUUUCCACCAGCAGUGGAUAAAGUUUCAAUAUCUCCACAUUCUCACUGAUUUUUUAUUUAUUUUUUUGAGACAGAGUCUUGCUCUGUCCCCC